rnacentral:rRNA from 1 species
GAUGAACGCUGGCGGCGUGCCUAAUACAUGCAAGUCGAGCGAACGGACGAGAAGCUUGCUUCUCUGAUGUUAGCGGCGGACGGGUGAGUAACACGUGGAUAACCUACCUAUAAGACUGGGAUAACUUCGGGAAACCGGAGCUAAUACCGGAUGAUAUUUUGAACCGCAUGGUUCAAAAGUGAAAGACGGUCUUGCUGUCACUUAUAGAUGGAUCCGCGCUGCAUUAGCUAGUUGGUAAGGUAACGGCUUACCAAGGCAACGAUGCAUAGCCGACCUGAGAGGGGGAUAGGCCACACUGGAACUGAGACACGGUCAAGACUCCUACGGGAGGCAGCAGUAGGGAAUCUUACGCAAUGGGCGAAAGCCUGACGGAGCAACGCCGCGUGAGUGAUGAAGGUCUUCGGAUCGUAAAACUCUGUUAUUAGGGAAGAACAUAUGUGUAAGUAACUGUGCACAUCUUGACGGUACCUAAUCAGAAAGCCACGGCUAACUACGUG